AUGGAUGCCGCUGUGCGCCGUCUGGAUGGCGCGGCGCGGCGCGCUGCGACGAGCCAGGAUUUUGCGCAUCAGCCAAUGGCGAACAACAAGAAGUCUGCUGCCCGUACUGAAGCUAGGGCUCCACCAGUUGGUAGAAGGGCUGGCCUUCGACUAGACGCACAGACCGAGCGUUUUGCUGCCGAAGCUGAGGGGAAUGGACUCGCGGUUUUCUGGGGAGUUACGGUGAUGCUUAGAGAGCGUACUGCCAGGUUCUUUGAACCAAAUUUCUGCAUUGGAAUUGUGGUAUCAAGGUCAUCUACUUUCGGGGAGUUCACCCAGCAGGCAGCUCUUAGCAUCAGGACAACAGCUGUGAGGAAUCAUAUCGAGCUUCCUGAGCAGGCCCUUGAGGAUUUACAGUUCUUUGUAGGUUCGGAUAACAUGUGCCCUCUGCCUGAUGUGUCGAUGAUGGAGAUCGAGCGCAAGUUCAAAGGUGCUGAUGAGGUCGUCCUGAUGCUGUUCCUGGCCACCCACUGA
rnacentral:rRNA from 1 species